ensembl:lncRNA
CACAAGGAGGAAGGAUCUCUAUCUGGAGAUCACUCCUUUUGAAGCCCUUCCAUCAGCCCAAGAUGCAGGCCCAUCUAUCACAACUGAUAAUUGCUUCUGAGAGGAAAUCUUGAGGAAUUCCCCUCUUAGAUGUCAGAAGAACUUAGCAUGAAGAUUUUUAAGACAAAAUGGCAGGAACUGAUCAAAUAAAUAAUUAAGCUUAUCGUAAUAAUUUUCCAAAUCUGGAGAAAUACAUGUGUGCCUUAAAUCUUCCUUUUUUUCCCAGCUACUCUUUUCUUUGUUAGUGAAAUACUUUCCCAGAAAACCUUUCUUCUCCUGAGUUUAUUACUGAACUGACAACUGAAAACAAAAUUUUUGUUUCUUUCUGCUAUGUUGUAUUAGAUGCAUCUUGGCAAAAAGAAAAUAAAGAAAAUAAUUGCUCUCCUUUCAGAAUAAAAUCAUCUGUUUACUUUCAGAAGAAAAUAAUGUGUCCAUUUCCUUCCAAUUCCAGUUUUUCAUUUUGUUCUGCUUUUCUUUGGAGGAUAGGAUACAUUCUGAGAAAAACUGAAUUAAUCUCAAUCUAGAGGUAAAUUCAUCUUAAAAGGCCACAUAUGCACUGUAAUAAUAACUUUCUUUAAUGCUGUGCUAUGCAUAUAAUAGUCUUUGAAAAGAUCACCAUUUCAAUUGUUGUUUCUCCUAGGAGAAAGUAGGGGGAACUGGAAAAGCAAAUUGUACUGAUGUAGUAUUCUUUAAACCAGUUAGAACACAAGAUGAGACUAAAAGGAAC